rnacentral:rRNA from 1 species
GACGAACGCUGGCGGCGUGCCUAAUACAUGCAAGUUGAGCGAUGAAGAUUGGUGCUUGCCCCAAUUUGAAGAGCAGCGAACGGGUGAGUAACGCGUGGGGAAUCUGCCUUUGAGCGGGGGACAACAUUUGGAAACGAAUGCUAAUACCGCAUAACAACUUUAAACAUAAGUUUUAAGUUUGAAAGAUGCAAUUGCAUCACUCAAAGAUGAUCCCGCGUUGUAUUAGCUAGUUGGUGAGGUAAAGGCUCACCAAGGCGAUGAUACAUAGCCGACCUGAGAGGGUGAUCGGCCACAUUGGGACUGAGACACGGCCCAAACGCCUACGGGAGGCAGCAGUAGGGAAUCUUCGGCAAUGGACGAAAGUCUGACCGAGCAACGCCGCGGGAGUGAAGAAGGGUUUCGGAUCGUAAAACUCUGUUGGUAGAGAAGAACGUUGGUGAGAGUGGAAAGCUCAUCAAGUGACGGUAACUACCCAGAAAGGGGCGGCUAACUACGUG